UUGGUUAAGUUAGAAAGGGCGCACGGUGGAUGCCUUGGCACUAGGAGCCGAAGAAGGACGGGACUAACACCGAUAUGCUUUGGGGAGCUGUACGUAAGCGUUGAUCCAGAGAUUUCCGAAUGGGGGAACCCACUAUCUUUAGUCGGAUAGUAUCCUUACGUGAAUACAUAGCGUAAGGAAGGCAGACCCAGGGAACUGAAACAUCUAAGUACCUGGAGGAAGAGAAAGAAAAAUCGAUUUCCUGAGUAGCGGCGAGCGAAACGGAAAGAGCCCAAACCAAGAAGCUUGCUUCUUGGGGUUGUAGGACACUCUAUACGGAGUUACAAAAGAAAGUUAUAAAUGAAGCGGUCUGGAAAGGCCCGCCAAAGACGGUAACAGCCCGGUAGUUGAAAUGGCUUUCCCUCCAGAGUGGAUCCUGAGUACGGCGGAACACGUGAAAUUCCGUCGGAAUCCGGGAGGACCAUCUCCCAAGGCUAAAUACUCCCUAGUGACCGAUAGUGAACCAGUACCGUGAGGGAAAGGUGAAAAGCACCCCGGAAGGGGAGUGAAACAGUUCCUGAAACCGUGUGCCUACAAGUAGUUAGAGCCCGUUAAUGGGUGAUAGCGUGCCUUUUGUAGAAUGAACCGGCGAGUUACGAUUUGUUGCAAGGUUAAGCGGAAAAAGCGGAGCCGUAGCGAAAGCGAGUCUGAAUAGGGCGCAUAAGUAACAGGUCGUAGACCCGAAACCAGGUGAUCUACCCAUGUCCAGGAUGAAGGUAAGGUAAUACUUACUGGAGGUCCGAACCCACGCACGUUGAAAAGUGCGGGGAUGAGGUGUGGGUAGCGGAGAAAUUCCAAUCGAACUUGGAGAUAGCUGGUUCUCUCCGAAAUAGCUUUAGGGCUAGCCUCGAGGUAAAGAGUCAUGGAGGUAGAGCACUGUUUGGACUAGGGGCCCUUCUCGGGUUACCGAAUUCAGAUAAACUCCGAAUGCCAUGUACUUAUACUCGGGAGUCAGACUGCGAGUGAUAAGAUCCGUAGUCGAAAGGGAAACAGCCCAGACCACCAGUUAAGGUCCCCAAAUAUAUGUUAAGUGGAAAAGGAUGUGGGGUUGCUUAGACAACCAGGAUGUUGGCUUAGAAGCAGCCACCAUUGAAAGAGUGCGUAAUAGCUCACUGGUCGAGUGACCCCGCGCCGAAAAUGUACCGGGGCUAAACAUAUUACCGAAACUGUG
rnacentral:rRNA from 1 species